rnacentral:rRNA from 1 species
AUUGAACGCUGGCGGAAUGCUUUACACAUGCAAGUCGAACGGCAGCACGGACUUCGGUCUGGUGGCGAGUGGCGAACGGGUGAGUAAUGUAUCGGAACGUGCCCAGUCGUGGGGGAUAAUGUAGUGAAAAUUACGCUAAUACCGCAUACGAUCUAUGGAUGAAAGCGGGGGAUCGCAAGACCUCGCGCGAUUGGAGCGGCCGAUAUCAGAUUGGGUAGUUGGUGGGGUAAAGGCCCACCAAGCCAACGAUCUGUAGCUGGUCUGAGAGGACGACCAGCCACACUGGAACUGAGACACGGUCCAGACUCCUACGGGAGGCAGCAGUGGGGAAUUUUGGACAAUGGGCGAAAGCCUGAUCCGGUCAUUCCGCGUGCAGGAUGAAGGCCCUCGGGUUGUAAACUGCUUUUGUACAGAACGAAAAGGUCUCUACUAAUACUAGGAGCUCAUGACGGUACUGUAAGAAUAAGCACCGGCUAGCUACGUGCCAGCCGCCGCAGUAA